rnacentral:lncRNA from 1 species
AUUUUUAAUCAUUUAAUACAUUUCAAGUUAACUUGUAUAACAUCUAAUUGAUUUUAAAAUGUUUACAAGCUCAUGAAUAACAACAGAAUCAGUAUAAAGGGAGUUAACUCAGAAACAUCUCACUAGAUGGGAGAUAACUCUUGUAUUCUUAUAAAGAACACAAUUUAAUACACUAUGAACUACAAGUAAUAAUUAUAUUUCAUUGGAUUUCAUAUUUUUUUUCAAAACCUAUUUGUAGAUUAGUUUAUUUGGUAAAAAACAUUUUUUCAUGAGAUGGCUAAUGUACAAUAAAUAUGGACAGAAGCUAAAUAUUAUAUUUCAUUGGAUUUCAAAUUUGUUAAAAACUAUUUGUAUAUCAUUUUUUUGUAAAAAUAUUCAUUGGACGGCUAGUGAAGAAUAAAUAUGGACAUAAUUAUAUUUCAUUGGAGUUAAAAAUUUGUUAAUAGAUAUAGGAAGAUGUAGUAUGAGUGCCAAUGAGAUAACUCUCCAUCCAAGUCACAAUAAAACUAUUUGUAAAUCAUUUUUUUGUAAAAAUAUUCAUUUAUAGGAUGGCUGGUGUAGAAAAAGAAUGGACGGAAAAUGAAUAAUGUCACAGUUUCAAAAAAUCAACUUAUGACAUGGCCACUUCAAAAAUAGGUAUUUGAGCAUGAGCAGGUGGUUGCUAUGUAACUUAAAUAAUAAAAAUAGUAUUUUGAUAAAAAUGGUAAAAUGUUGAUGAUUUCAAUAUUUUCAUUAUUUUCUAAUAAUGUACAAAUUGAUAAAUGGAAUGCAUCGAAGUUAAAUAUCAAUAAAACAUGUCAAAUGUUAAAUGUAUUUCUUGUUAAACAAAGGUUAAGAAAACUUGAAACUUUGAUCAUGAUAAAUAUUUCAAGAAUUACAAUUUUGAUGCUUUAUGAUAAGUUGAUUUGACAUACCCAAGAAUAUGACGUAUUAUUUCCAAGUGUCUAAACACAAUACCGCUCAAGUGUCUAAACACAAUACUGAUAUACAUGUACAAUGUAUUCAUUAUGAUUUGUUUGAAACCAAUUUUCGUAAAUUUCACAAAUAAAAGUGAAAAUCUAAUUUAAAAGUUUAAAAGGCAAUUCCAAAUUCAAGAGAGGCCAAAGUCAUUUUAGAACAGUUGUUUCUUUGGUCAGCUGGCUACCCAAAUUGUGUUUCUGUCUUGAAAAUAUAUUCCAACAUUAGCAAUUUGGUGUUUUGAGGCUUAUUUAAGAAAGUAAAUAGGGCUUCAACUCAGUAAAAUAUGGAUAAUCAAAAGAAAAAGAAAAUAAGUAGUAAGGGAGUUAUCUACCCUUAAAAUGAGUGUAAAACACAGCACACAUUAAAUACACAGCAAUAAAGAAAAUUGUAAAAAAACAAUAUUUAUAAAUAAAAUAUGAUACAAAUAAAUUAAUAAACAAAUAUACUGGACAGAAUCGAGACAGUAGAUCAUAAAUAUUGGUCAGUAUACAUGAGGGUCAGGGAGGGGUUUACAGAAUAGAAAAUAAAGGGUAAAAAUUGCAGAAUUAAAAUACAAAUAAUAUAAAGAAUAGAGAAUAAUGGACGCUGAUAUAUUUAUAAGAUUGAAUAAUGGAAACAAUGAAUAAAAAAUAGAGGAAAAAACCCAGUCUAAAACAAUAAUGAAUACAGAAAUGAAAUUAAUACACCCUUCCAGACCCCUCAUAUACGCCACUUUAAAGCACUUUUUAACAGUCAAUACAUAGGUAUAGAGAUAAAUUGUAAUAAAUAAAUAAAUAAAUUAAAACGUCAUGUAAUACUUGUUACUUUAAGUAAUAAUAAAUUCUCCAGAUAUAUAAUAAAUAUCAACAAUUUAAAAGCCUGAGAAAACCAAGGCAUUAUUUUUUAAACCUAUUUCAAGAUUUGUUUGUCAAAAUCAAUAUCCAAUUUAAAGAGAUUAAAUUAAAAAAAUGUAACAGUAAAAUUUUGUCACGAUCUAACUUUUAAAAUACAAAUUGUGUUUGUAAGCAAUUUAAACAAGUCACGAUUUUUAUUUUAUCUUUAUAAUUAAAAAUAUAGAAAUAUUAAGACAAGAAAUUUUUAAAAAGACUGCUAUUUUUUAUCGAUAAACUCAACGAAAAAUCGAAAGUAGAAUAUAUCGAUAUUUACAGUAAUUCUAUCAAUUUCUAUAUCUUGUCUCUUGAAGAUGAUAUUUUUCAGUAAUUAAUAAUUGAAUUUACUGUAAUUUUAAGAUAUGUAGGGUAAAAUCCAAAUAAUGACUUACAAAAUAUUUAUCCGCUGUUCAUUUGAGCCUAUAUUAUAAAUUGUUCCACUUCGUUUUUUCUUUUUCAUAUAAGAAAUUUUAUUCAAUAUUUAAUUCAGUAAAGUUUAAGGUACAAGGUUCUAAAUAGCAUAAUUUGCUUAGGUAAAGAUUUUCUUGUUUUAUCUGGCAAUUUAAAAGAUACCUAACGGCCAUUAAGAAAAUAAUGAAAAAUUUGAGACAGAUUAAUAUGUGAAGCAAAAUAAAAUAAAAUACUUAAACACUCCUUCUGAAGAUUGAGUAUCAUGCUUUUUUAUAUCUAAAUACUUAGGUCUAGUAUAUAUUAAGUACUUUUUGUACCAAGGUGUCUACGUAAUGAAUUUUUAUGUCAAUGAGGGUGAAAUUCUGGAAUGUUUUGAAAAAAUAUCAUUUAAGUAUAGAUUGGUAUUAAAAAUAAUCUAAAUUUCAAAUUGUUAUCUGUAUAUAUUGUGGACUAUUAAUUCAGAAAAAAAGAAAUGAAUAAGAAAUGAUCAGAAAUGUGACUUAAAUCGAUAUAAAGGCAAUAAAAGUCUGUCAUGCAUAACAAAAUAAAUAUAGUAUUAAUGGACGGUUUGUUUGACGUAAUUCCUAUAUAAUGAACAACCCAUUUAAAACGAUAAAAUCUUUAUAAAAGACAUUCAUAAUUUAAAUUAAAUAUAUCAUACAUUUUAAGUUGGCAAAUGUCAUCACAUAAAGUUAGUUACAAUAAUG